UGAAGAACAAACAAAUGAAAGAAUAAAUUAAUUUAAAGAAGAAGAAGAAGAAAAAAAAAAAAGAAAUUAUUUUACAAGCAAUGUAUGUUAUUUUUUAAAAAAAAGUGAAUAAUAAAAUUAAAAUGAAUAGCAAAGCCAGAAAUUUUGAAGGGCGAACGAUGCUCCAGCCUGCGAUGUCUUUUUUAAAACAAGUACUCUGAACGCACACUCGGAUCUCGCAAGCAAAAGCGGUUUAGUUCAGUUUUUUUUGGUGGUGAGAUUGGGACUUCUCUGCAUUGACCAAGCCAGGCCAUCUCGAUCGGACGGGAAAGGGAGCAGGGAUGCGGGGAGGGCCCUGCCAGCCUUUCUUCUCCAGCCAUGUUCAAUCUUCAUCUUGGUCUGAAGCCCCUACUCUCCUCCCCCCCAGGGAUGUCAGCCCAACUGGGAGCUCAGAAAGAAACAAAUAGAAAGAAAGGAAAACGGAUGUCGGGGAUUUAAAAAAAUAAAAAAGAAACCAUCAACCUCUGGGAACCUGUUAGAACGAGGGCACAACUGUAUUACCUCAAAGAUUUAAACAAAAAACCACAGCAGCUAAAGAACUUCUAUUGUUUUCCUUUUUUUUCUAAAAAAAAAACAAAAACAAAAAAGCCACAAAAAAAAGAAAAUAAAAAAAAAGACGAAGAAGAAAUAAAACUGACGCCGGUGAAGCUGAAGAAGGUUUGGAAGAACCUAUUGGAAUCACACUGGGCGAUUAGCAUUUAUUUUAUUAUUCUGAGCCACCGUGGAGUUUGGAACUUUGUUCUUUUUUCCUUAUCCGAGCAGGGAUUUGUUCAUCAGACGAAUCAGGAGUCACUAACAGGGUAUUUCAAAAGCAGUCCUGAGUUCCCAUCCGUGGGGGGAGUGUAUCGACUUCCGCGUUUCUGUAGUUCACUCUUCAUCCUCUUUUCCAAGUGAUGCCAGCUGCAGCUACAUGCAACAUGCAAGCGCACGUGCACACACGCACACACACACACACACUUGUAACAUUGUGCUUUUCUUUUCUUAAAAAGUAUAUAUAUCGCACCAAAACCUAAGAAAGACGAUCAUGCAAUACAGGCAAUGAGCCCAUAUGAAACCAACAUGCAUCCCAACAGAAAGCAAAAAAGAACCCCGAGUUUAUAUAUAUAAUUUUGUUGUCGUCGUUUUUAAACUGGACCAAAACUUUUGUUACCCAAAACCGAGUGGGGGGAAAAAAAAAAAAAGAAGAAAAAGUAUUUCUUUAUGGACCAAAACCUCUUCAGCUGUCCUUUACCUGGAUCUUCCUGAGGUUGGCCACUUUUAUAUAUUAUAUUUUUUUCAGAACGAAACAAAAAAAAAAAAAAAAAAAAAAAAGAAUUGCCUUGUUGAACAUCCUUUAAUCAUUUCAAGACUCCUAGUUUUGUUAAAUCAGAUACUUUCUAAACCAUUGGGAACUGGGAGAGGACGGGCUUCGAAUCUGGCUUCUGUGCCAAUGCACACAAGAUGCAAGCCAGCAUCUUAACAUCAUCAGUUACAGGAGACUUUAUUUUCAUCGUAAUAAUGUUCCUGGGAACAUCCCCUCUUCUGCUCGGUUUGCUGCCGCUUGCUGCCGGUGCCGGGGCAGGCUGCUCCGGUGCUCUGCAUCGAUAAAGGUCUGCUUUCAAUCUCCAGAUACUGGGUGGAGGUGCGUGAAAUGAUGUACCUCCACCGUUUGUGCAUCGACGGUAAAAUAUUACGUAGGGGGCGAGAUGGAGGGGUGGACGCUGUUCCUAGGUUCUGUAAUGGAUGCUGAUGUUUCGGAAAAAGAAAAAGAGAUAUAUAAAAAAAAGAAAAAAAAAUACUAAUGCUGUGCUAAAGGGACACUGUCAGGUCGAAUGUGUACUCGCCUCCUCCCCAAAGCUUUAAGAAACCUUCGGCUGCCUGGUUCUCCGUGCCCUGCGGCGCACGUAGCCGCUGGCGCCUGGAGCGGGUCGGGACGCGAGUGUGUGCUCGGGAGAGGCGCUGCCUCGGCCCUGUGGCCAGCCACGUCCUUCCUAAACUAGCCUGGUUCUUGUUCAAAGUCUGGCUUUGGUCUGGUCCCAGUAGAAGAAGGGUAAGGGAGAGAGGGGGGGAGCAUUUCUGCGCGCCGGGCAGUAACCUCUCCUCGCCCCGCACGCCACCGCCUCCGCUCGUCCGUGCCCCUGGGGUUGCGUUGGAGCCGUUCUCCCCCCAAAAUCCUCCCGAUGGUGGCAAGAGAGUGCUUGGGGCAAGAGCCGGGGGAAGGGGGGGGCUCCAAACGCCAUUCUUGGGGGGGCGUUCGGAAAUGUUCGUGUCGGUACCGGAGGGGCUUGAGCUGGAAACGCAAUGGCAAAGUGCUUCCCCGGCCGAGUCCCCCGGGGCCGAUCUGUUAGUUGAGUGACUAGUCGUUCUUGGCUGAGUGAAGUCUGUUCGUGGUAAUGUGAGCAAGUUUUUGGUCAAUGUCUUUCUUUGAUGCCAGGUUGUGAAGAGGUGGGGGGGAGCGGGGAGGGGGGAAGGAGACACCCGUGUGGGGGCCUGGGGCGGGGGGGACCUGUGCUAGCACUGACCCUAGGGAUUUGGGGGGGUAAGGGGAGGAUAAGGGGGGCCCUCGUUCCGCUCCUUUUAUCUCUUUCCCCUUCCCCUAGCAAGCGAAAAGCGAUGUAAAAGCCUCCUGCAUGCUGAAAAUGUUAGAGAAAAAAAAAAAAAAUUUUCUUUUUAAAAAA